rnacentral:rRNA from 1 species
GCAGGCCUAACACAUGCAAGUCGGACGGAAACGACAAGAACAAUCACUUCGGUGUGCGUUCUUGGGCGUCGAGUGGCGGACGGGUGAGUAACGCGUGGGAAUCUACCCUUUAGUUGGGGACAACAUAUGGAAACGUAUGCUAAUACCGAAUAUGCUCUACGGAGUAAAGGUGCCCUCUCCUUGGAAGGUAUCGCUAAAGGAUGAGCCCGCGUUAGAUUAGCUAGUUGGUAGGGUAAAGGCCUACCAAGGCGACGAUCUAUAGCUGGUUUGAGAGGAUGAUCAGCCACACUGGGACUGAGACACGGCCCAGACUCCUACGGGAGGCAGCAGUGGGGAAUAUUGCACAAUGAGGGAAACCUUGAUGCAGCCAUGCCGCGUGUGUGAAGAAGGCCCGAGGGUUGUAAAGCACUUUCAAUUGUGAGGAAGAUUAAGUAGCUAAUACCUGCUUAGUUUGACGUUAACUUUAGAAGAAGCACCGGCUAACUCUGUGCCAGCAGCCGCGGUAAUACAGAGGGUGCAAGCGUUAUUCGGAAUUACUGGGCGUAAAGCGCGCGUAGGCGGACUGUUAAGUCGGUUGUGAAAGCCCUGGGCUCAACCUAGGAACUGCAUCCGAUACUGGCAAUCUAGAGUUUAAGAGAGGGAAGUGGAAUUCCAGGUGUAGCAGUGAAAUGCGUAGAUAUCUGGAGGAACAUCAGUGGCGAAGGCGACUUCCUGGCUUAAAACUGACGCUGAGGUGCGAAAGCUUGGGUAGCGAACGGAAUUAGAUACCCCGGUAGUCCAAGCCGUAAACGAUGUC